rnacentral:lncRNA from 1 species
CAAUAUUUUUUGAUAUAGAUUAGGCUAUAUAUGAUUAGUGGACAAUAUUUUAGAAUUAGAGCCAAAAUUCUAGUGGCCACAGACUACAAAACCAGUUAAAUACCGCUUCUUAUGGAAGUCUUAACAAGGUUUAUUUCUUUCUGGGCUUACAAUGGUAAUCAUUUAUGCUUGGUGAGAAUGCAAUUUGUUAAUGAAUGGACUCGAGCAUUUUAACAGCCUAGAUAAUCAAUUUUUAUUCAGAUGGUGUUACUUUCCUAGAGUUAUUUGCAACACAAACAACAAAACAUGUCAUAAUAAAUAAAACAGUACAUCAUUAAGUUUUUGGUGGAAAAAUGUUUGGCUCAGGUUUUUUUCUUACGACAGUAAUGCUUGCUAUAAAAGUCUAAUAAUAUAGAAAUGUGGAAAGUCAAAUGUGAAAGUCUCCCUUCACGAAUCUCACAGUCAACCAUUAAUAAUUAGAUUUCUAUCCUUUAACAUUUUUUUCUACGUACAUACAGGCAUUUGAAAUAAAGGAACCCUUUAUGUUAUUUCUGUUACAGAACCAGGAAGAUCCUGAUAAAGACACUGUCUGCACUCCACUCAGAUGCCCUUUGAGUCUAUGCGCUGUUUCUGGGCUCAUCCUCCAGCCUCAAUGUGUUUGCUGACACACAGCAUGUCCUGUGGGACUGGAGAAAUAUGGAGAAUGCAGCACACUUGCUUCCUACUGAAAUUCAGAUAUACAUGAAAAUCAUUUUGCAUAAUGAAGGUAAGCUUAAAAACAUUCUUAAAGUUCUACGAAAGCCUCGAUAUAAAGAGCAAGGUUUAAAAUUUCUAAGAAGUCUUUCUAUUUGAAGCCCCCCUCUCUCUCUCUCUAUCAGUGCUUUCCUUGGUUGUUCAGGUCUAAUAUUAACCAUAAUGCUACAAGCUCAAUAUAAUAAAUUAUAAAAGCAACCUCAUUUUAUAAUUUGCUACCUACUUUAAGGUGUACUUAUUUUCAUACUAAUGCCUUAUCUGCAUGUGAAGCCACAUGCGAAACAUGUCUCAUAUUGCACUUUGACUUGUAUUAUGUGUCCAUAAGUUCACCUGAACCCUGAAACAGUCAGAAAAAAAUGAUUGCAGAUAACAUUAUAGGUUACUGAGUUUAGAUCUAUUGAACUUCUGAGGUUGUUUUAUGAUAUAUUGUGUAAACAUAAAAAGGUCACUUUACCAUGAAAGAAGUAAAGACUUUUAUAAAAACUUGUUUUAUUGCAGUAAUCUUAGCUUCAUAAAAAACUCAUAGGUAGCAUUAAAGGGCACUGAGUUUAGCAAGGAAAGGCAUUGAGGUAACCUUUGUGCUUUGUGAAGACAUUGAUUAGUGCCAACUCUGCCCUUUGACUUAGUAAUUGAAAUCUUGGCAUUUGAUCUCAAGUAAGUAAUGUAAUAAAGAAAAUAUGUGCACG